rnacentral:lncRNA from 1 species
AGGCUGGAAGAGCCUCAGUGAAGAGAGGCAUGGGCUCAUGUGGAAUAUGAAGGAGUAGUCUGGGAUAGAAACUCAAACUGGCUACUGCCCACGAGGAUGAGAGAUCACACAAAGAAGAAGUCAUGUGAACACACAGCAAGAAUGUGGCAGCCUACAAGUCAAGAGAAGAGGCCCCAGAGUCUACCUUGCAGGCACCAUGAUCUUGGAUCUUCCAGUCUUCAGAACUGGUAAUCCAAGAUGGACCAGAAAUUCAGGAUCUUCACGGUUAACGUGGUGGCAGUCAGAAAGAAAUGCAAUAGAACUAAUUUAAGUUCUAGAUCAUGAUAGCCUGUGAUAUGGUUAUGAUCUGCUAUUGUUCGUGAUUUCCUGUACCAUCAUAUGACACAAUGAAGAGAUGACCAUGUGCAAACCACAUAGAGUACCCUUACCAGACACUAGAGCUGGCAGAAAUUUGAUCUUGGACUUCCCAGUCUCCAGAACUGUGAGAAAUAAAUGUUUGUUGUUUAUGAAACUUAGUCUAUGGUAUUCUGUUAUAUAGCAGCUUGAGCUGACUAAUGUGAUAUUAUUAAGUCAAGAAAAACAAUUGGAUAAUUUAUCAAGAUUAUUUUAUGGCAGACAAUUUAUUUCAACAUUACUUAAAAGCAUUGAAACUUUUCUAUGCUGAGAAUUACAGUGCUGCUGGUGAAAGUGGUGCUAGAGCUUGUGUGUGUGUCUGUGUGUGUGUCUAAUCGCAUUCAGGGAGCAUUUGUUUAGUCUGUUUUAAUGCUAUCAGAGCUAACAUUUGUGUAUGUUUGUUUUCUUUAUCUCAGCUCUGGCAAAUCCAUGAAAAACAGAUGAAAGCCAAAUCUUUCAUUAUUUCUAAAUCCCUGAUUAUGACAUAUUUCUCCUACAACGUGUCCCAAAAGAAUGAGAAAAGCAUCUGUAACUACGCACAGGUUAUGUUGUAGUCCCCUCAGUAGCAUUUUGUCCAUAUGGAGCUUAAUUCUGUAAACUACCUAUAACUAGGUAUAAAAUUCAGACAGAAAAUAGCAAUUUAUCACAAGUGUCCAGCUGGCUUCUUCUUCUAAGUGGUUAUUUCCUAAUCUGCAAUCCAGCCAUUCACUGCCCACUCACAUUUUUGAGCUAUAAAAUCAAUAAUAAAUAGCAAGAACAUUCCCUUGAGAGCUUAGCCAUGCAUUCCAACUGGG